rnacentral:rRNA from 1 species
GACGAACGCUGGCGGCGUGCUUAACACAUGCAGGUCGAACGGAAAGGCCCUGCUUGCAGGGUGCUCGAGUGGCGAACGGGUGAGUCACACGUGGGUGAUCUGCCCCUUACUUUGGGAUAAGCCUGUGAAACUGGGUCUAAUACUGGAUAGGACCAUGCUGUAGGUGGUGUGGUGGAAAGAUUAGUUUCGGUAAGGGAUGAGCUCGCGGCCUAUCAGCUUGUUGGUGGGGUACUGGCCUACCAAGGCGUCGACGGGUAGCCGGCCUGAGAGGGUGGACGGCCACAUUGGGACUGUGAUACGGCCCAGACGCCUACGGGAGGCAGCAGUGGGGAAUAUUGCACAAUGGGCGCAAGCCUGAUGCAGCGACGCCGCGUGGGGGAUGACGGCCUUCGGGUUGUAAACUCCUUUCAGCCAUGACGAAGCCCUUGUGGUGACGGUAGUGGUAGAAGAAGCACCGGCUAACUACGUG